GGGUAAAAGCAGGAGGUAAAGAAAUAGUCAAAUCAUCUACUGCCUGAGAGCACCGGGGAGAGACAAUGAUCGGAAAAUAAAUCCAGGCCUUUGUGCCAGCAGGGGCAACCCCCUCUGGGUCCCCUCCCAUUGUAUGUGAGCUCUGUUUUCAUUCUAUUAAAUCUUGCAACUGCACAUUCUUCUGGUCCGUGUUUCUGCCGGCUCAAACUGAGCUUUCGCUCUCCAUCCACCAUGGCUGAACGCCACAGUCGCAGACCUGCCGUUGACUUUCAUCCCUCUGGAUUUGGCAGGGUGUCCACUGAGCUUCUGAUUCAGCGAGGUGCUCAUUGCUGCUCCCAAUCAGGCUAGAGGCUCGCCAUUGUUCCUGCACCGGGAAGUGCCCGGGUUCAUCCUAAUUAGGCUGAACACUAGUCUCUGGGUUCCAUGGUUCUCUUCCGUGACCCACAGCUUCUAAUAGAGCUAUAACACUUACCGCAUGGCCCAAGGUUCCAUUCCUUGGAAUCCCUGAGGCCAAGAACCCCACGUCAGAGAACAAAAGGCUUGCUGCCAUCUUGGGAGCAGCCGGCCCCAUCUUGGGAGUGGCCCACCACCAUCUUGGGAGCUCUAAGAACAAAGACCUGCUGGUAACACUAUCUCUGGCCACCUAUCUCUGGCCUAUCUAUCUCUGGUUCCUAUCUCUGGCCAUGGCUUGAGCCAUUUGGGUGCAGUGAACAGGAAACUGUAAAGAGUGACAGCCCUGCUUCUACAAAAUGGAUGCCAAGGUUACACCUCCUCCCUCCUUAAAUAGCACUUAGUGUAAUUGAUGCCAAGUUAAUCCCUGUGCUGCCAAGAGAAGUGUCCAUGGGGUAGGAACCGCAUGCUGUUUUACCUGUGCUUAAAGAGGAAAGUGUCACGCGUCUCUGAAGAAACAAUGUUGACUGAAAAAUAGCGCCAAGUCUCAAACAAGAUCUUUGUGAAAAAUAAAGCAUGAAGCACAAAAUGAGAGAAAGACUUUUUUAAAUAGCCAGAAGUGGUGAAUUUGACAGUAAAGGACAAGAAGAGAAAGUUCUCAGACCUGAACAGGAAAAAAUGGUGCCUGGACACUACAAACAAUCUUCAUGUGCACUGAUCGGACAAUAAGUGAAUGGGUAAAUUUCUUUUCUCUAUCCCAUAUUCUGAAUCUUCAUCAUUAAAUCACUGUAACUUUUGUAAUAUAAUAUUUAGUAAAAUUGUGUAUGCAGACAAGGACCCAACACACCCUAGAAAAGGCCCUGCAUUAGGGAACUGGGCUAUGGAAAGCAUUAUGUAUCUGUUUCUGCACUGUGUGGCUAUAUAAACUCUGACAAGAUUUUGUGACAUUGGCUCAAUACAUAAGGAACUUAAAUCUAAUGGCAGAUGAGUACAUGCUCUUUCUGUCAAUCCACAGACCACCUGAAAUGUUGCAUAAACUAGCGUCUCUUUUUAUUUAAUCAAUUUUAUUUUUUAGUGGUUUUAAGUUCACAGAAAAGUUCAGUGGAAAGUACAAAUAAUUCCCACAUAUUCCCUGCCCCCAUGCCACAACCUCCACAACUAUGAACAUACUUGCACCACAGUGGCACAUUUGUUACCAGUGAUGCACCUUCUCACACAUCAUCACCUAAAGUUUAUAGUUUACAUUAGAGUUCACUCUUGGUGUUGUAACAAACGGAUUUUAACAAAUGGAUCAUGACACGAUCUACUCUUGUAGUAUCACACAGAAUAAUUUAACUGGCCUGAAAAUCUCCUGUGUUCCACCAUCCUCCCUAGCCACCCAACCUAUAGCAAUAAUUUAUCUUUUUCCAGUCUCUAUUGUUUUGCCUUUUCCACAGUAUCAUAUAGUGGAAAUCAUUCAGUAUGUAGCUUUUUCAGAUCUUUCACUCUGUAAUAUGCAUUUAACGUUACCCCAUGUCUUUUCAUGACUUGAUGGUUUAUUCCUUUUUAGCACUAAAUAAUAUUCCAUUGUCUGAAUAUAUUAGUUCAUUUAUUCAUUUGCAUAUUGGUUACUUCCAAGUUUUGGAAAUUAUGAAUUGAGCUGCUAUAAACAUUCAUGUGCAAGUUUUGUAUGAACAUAAGUUUUCACAUCAUAUGGGUAAAUAUUAAGGAGUGUGAUUUGCUAGGUUAUACGGUAAGAGUAUGCUUAAUUGUUGUUUUUAUGUAAAGAUGGAGUCUUGCUCUGUCACCCAGGCUGGAGAGUAGUGGUACAAUCAUGGUUCACUGCAGUCUCAAACGCCUGAGUUCAAGCGAUCCUCCUCCCUCAGCCUCCCAAGUAGCUGGGACUACAGGCACACACCACCAUGCCUGGCUAAUUUUUUCAAUUUAUUUUUUGUAGAGACAGGGUAUUGCUAUAUUUCCCAGGCUCGUCUCAAAUUCCUGGUGUCAAAUGAUCCUCCCACAGUGUUGGGAUUACAGGUGUGAGGUAUAUGCUUAGUUUUUUAAGAAACUGCCAAACUGUCUCCCAAAGCAUCUAUACCAUUUUGUAUUCCCACCAGUAAUGAAUGAGAGUCUCAGCUGCUCCAUGUCCUCAACAGGAUUUGGUAUUUCUUUAAAAAAGUAAUUAACAAAAUAUCUGUAUUUGAAAAGUGUCUUAAAUAAUACUGUACAUAUGUUUGGUGACUAAUAUAUAUGUACUGAAUAAAACUAUAAUACUCUAACUGAUGGAUACACAGCAUAUAUUAUUCUUGUAUCUUUUCCUAGAAAGCCUUGGGCUACUCUAAAUCUGUAAUACGUAUUUCAACUUCUCUACUUACAUGUACUAUAUUAUAGCAAUUUCUAUUGAGUUAUAAUCCAUAUUCACUCUCCUGAUUUGCUAAAGUCACAGAGGCUUUCAUCCCUAGUUUCUAAAGUGCUAAUACUAGUUUUUUCAGGCUUGUUUUUAACUUUUAUUUUAAGUUCAGGGGUACAUAUGCAGGUUUGUUACAUAGGUUAAUUGUGUAUCAUGGGGAUCUAAUGUACAGAUUAUUUCAUCACCCAGGUAAUAGGCAUAGUAUCCAAUAGGUAGGAGUUGAUUUUUUGUAUAACGUGUAAGGAAGAGGUCCAGUUUCGAUUUUCUGUAUAUGGCUAGCCAUUUACCCUAGCAUCAUUUAUUGAAUACAGAGUCCUUUCCUCAUUGCUUGUUUUUUGUUGACUUUGUCAAAGAUCAGAUGAUGUUAGCUGUACAGCUUUAUUUUUGGGCUCUCCAUUCUGUCGUAUUGGUCUAUUAUCUGUUUUUGUACCAGUACUAUGCUGUUUUGGUUACUGUAGCCUUGUAAUAACAGUUUGAAGUUGGGUUAACAUGAUGCCUCUAGCUUUGUUCUUUUUGUUUAUGAUUGCCUUGGCUAUUCAAACUCUUUUUUGGUUCCAUAUGAAUUUUAAAAUAGUUUUUCCUAAUUCUAAUUCCUUCCCAAUUCAAGCAGUUUCCCAGCUUCCCUGUCACAUCCUUGGGUAAUUUCCCACUGCCACUCACCGCAUACUAGACAUAAUUAAAUAUUUUAAUGUGCACUCACUGUUUUUUUUAUGGAGUACAGAGUAUA
rnacentral:lncRNA from 1 species